GCUGACACAUCCCGGCCAAUCUCCAGCAGACCCUCCCUCCCAGACCCUCCGACUUCCUGGACAGCAUCCAUGUUGAAGGCAGCUUCAACAUGGAUGCUGUCCAGGAGGUGGGAGGGUCUGGGAGGGAGGGUCUGCUGGAGAUUGGCUGGGAUGUGUCAG
rnacentral:miRNA from 1 species